CCUACGGGAGGCAGCAGUGAGGAAUAUUGGUCAAUGGACGAGAGUCUGAACCAGCCAAGUAGCGUGAAGGAUGACUGCCCUAUGGGUUGUAAACUUCUUUUAUAUGGGAAUAAAAUGAUCCACGUGUGGGAUUUUGUAUGUACCAUAUGAAUAAGGAUCGGCUAACUCCGUGCCAGCAGCCGCGGUAAUACGGAGGAUCCGAGCGUUAUCCGGAUUUAUUGGGUUUAAAGGGAGCGUAGGUGGAUUGUUAAGUCAGUUGUGAAAGUUUGCGGCUCAACCGUAAAAUUGCAGUUGAAACUGGCAGUCUUGAGUACAGUAGAGGUGGGCGGAAUUCGUGGUGUAGCGGUGAAAUGCUUAGAUAUCACGAAGAACCCCGAUUGCGAAGGCAGUUCACUGAACUGCAACUGACAUUGAGGCUCGAAAGUGUGGGUAUCAAACAGGAUUAGAUACCCCAGUAGUC
rnacentral:rRNA from 1 species